ensembl:lncRNA
CAUUCUUAUACACAUUGAUUAUACAACACAUUGCUUAUGUUGAUCACCUCCCGCCCGUAUUGCUUACUGUCUACUAUUGCACAACAGACUGCAUGCUACCCCAAACAAAUCAACUACCCUAGUAAAUCAAUUCAACCUUUAUUUACACAACACAUUUCAUAAAAGUGUGUGCAAUCCAAUACAUUAAGAACACUUAAACAGAAAAAAAAACAAGACUACAUUUCGAUCACAUAAAGACCCCUUUCUCUGUCUCGCAUCCUCCUCCUGCUCUGCUAUCAUCCAGCCAGGGCCCCUGAGGGCCCCUCUUACGUAAUGUGAGUUAUUGGUGCCACUGCAGCAGCUCUGUAUUUUUCUCGGAAUAACCAGGCCAUCCACUGAGCCUUGGGCCCCUGUCUCUCCGUGACUCAUUAUGGCAGGCGUAGAAGCCAUAGACUGCCACUGAAAUGGCAUCCAGUUCCCUGUGUAGUGCACUACUGUGGGCCAGUCAGGCCAAAAGUAGUGCACUAUGUAGGGAAUAGGAUGCCAUUUUGGACACAAACCUAGAGGUAUUGGUGUCCAUUAUGCUCUGGGCAAAAAGGGAAUAGGGUGUAGGGAAUAGGGUGCCCUAGCGGUAUUGAGGCUGCAGGUAGACCUAUCGUUUAUCAAGGUGAACCUGCCAGGGUUCUCAGAGGUCCUGGGUGGGAAGGUACAUACGGCCAAGUCUCGGGUCCUCGUAUAACGUCACUUUUUCCUAAUGAUGUUACAACGAAGGAGAGAAAAGGGACAGUCCCUCCAUCUCCCUCUUUCUUUUACACACUCUCCCCUUCUCUCCGCCCUUCUCCGCCUUCGAUUUCUGGCCCGUACAAAUGCUGUUUGAUGAACGCCUGUGUGCGCGCGCGAGUACAUGUCAGCUCAGCUUCCCAGGGCCAGGGGUAACUAGAGGGCAGAGAGAAUGAUGGAGGAAGAUGGAAUGUGUGCGAGGAAAGAGACAGGCAGGCAUCUCGUAUCAGAGGCGCCUCCCCGUGGUGCGAGACCCCCGUAACAACUGCUUACACACACACACUCCUCCAUUCUUCCUCUCACUCUACUUUCCCCGUCCCUUUCUCAUUUCCUCCACCAGUAAACACCCGUCUGAUUCAGGACUGCUCCACAUGCAAUUUCAACUAACUCUCGCCGGCGUUUCAACUCGUAACUUCACUGUGUGCCGUCAUUGAACCCUGCAUCUCCUGACCCUUCCCCCCUGACACAUGUCCCUGCUGACUCUGUUGCUCUCACGUCCCCUUUGCUCCACUGCUGUACAUUGAACUCUAAGCACACGGAGGAAAGACUGGUGGUCUAUCAGACAGGCCAGGGUCUGGGAUAACAGAGCUGGGAAGAGGACUGGGAGUAAGAGGUCCUUAGACUAAGGGACAACAAAGUGAUCAGCUGUUUUUACUCUUUCCUUUUUUUUGAACAGGGAGGUGCACGUAAAAGUCAAGGGAAAGCCUGUUGACAACACCUCCGUCCGUAAUGCUAUGACAUGGCCAGCAGAGGGGGCUGAUGGGUGAAUAGGAUUAAUCCAACUGAACUGAACUGUGGCGCUGUGUGUGAACCCACAGUGCGCUGUAGUAUCCUCGGUUAGAAACCGCUAGCGACAGUGUUGUCUCUGCUUGUGUUUAGCUUUAGACGUUUCUUUGGUACCUAUUUCAUUACUGCUUGGGGGGGGAUGUGUGAGAGAACACAGGUUGGUGUUGUCAGAUACUCUGUGUUGGCCAACUGAGAGAGACAGUGUGUGGUGGGGAAACACGAGAGAUGAUCCGCUGUACAAUAUACUGUAACAAAGACCAGACUGGGGUUGUGUAUGUGGAAUCAGAGGGAGUCAGUGGACUUAUAUGCUGGAACUUUUCUCUCCGCUACAGAGAUGGACUUACUAUAAAAUGUGCUAUUGGACUAGAAUAUGAAACCUGGGAGAGAGCCCCAAAGCCUCCAAGUCAUCAUCACAGUCUUAAACAAAGGGGAAAGGAUGUGAGAUGUGACCGGGACAGUGGACAGACUAGGGCACCCGACAUCUUAUUUCAGGUGUGGGAAUGAUCAGAUACAUCUGUCCUAUCAAGUCUUUGUGCCAUUAGAUCCUGAACUUUUUUUAUCCUGUGAAUAAGAGGGCAACGGGAGGGUCGCAGAGGAAACUAGUACUACUACAAAUACAACACAACAAAACUUCAACCAAUCGAAGAGUGACAGACGCUAUUUCCUUUUUUUCCCUGUUCUUUUCCUUGUCUAUUUUAUACGCUUACACACUAGAGGGCGCCAUGGUGACACAAUCGCCAUAACAACCUACCGUUCCUCUGAACAUUCUGAAUGUGGACGAAUUCAGCGUUUUGCGACAGAGAGAGACGUCAAAAAAAUGAGGAGCAAAACUGUACAUUUUUAAGUGGUCUCUCCCACGUUGAAAUGGGCCCUGCAUAACUGCAGGCCUGUAUUAGCGGUGUACCACACCAGCCAUACUGGAUGAUGAUACAGCUCACCUUAAAGGUGGAAUCGGUAACUUACACCACCCAUGUGGCAACGACAAAACAUGGCCAAGAAGCAAAAAAUAAAAUGAAUUCACCUCUAAAAACAUCCUUGUGGCUUUUGGAAUGUGUAUAUUCCCAACCCUGUUGACUCUCCUACCGUUGUGUAGCCCCGGAACCACAGGGAGACCGAGAAACGAUGGCUUUUUGUAACCUAAGUUGCCUCUGAUCUAGCCUAUUCCCAGAUCGGUUUGUGCCGUCUUGCCAACUCCUAUGGUCAUUGUCGCGACUAGGAGUUGACAAGACGGCACAAACAGAUCUGGGACCAGGCUAUGUCUUAGCCUUAUCGGGAAUCACGUACUGCGGGUGGGACACAUGGCCCCCUGAAUACACUGUGUUACGUACAAUAUGUGUCCUGUCCAUGUAGGUUGUGCUAUCUGUAUACAGUGACCUCAUCAUAAGCUAUCGGUACCGCUAAGCUUGCCUUCCAAGUGGAAAGGUGAGGUGGGAAUUGAGUUGCUUAGUGGGCAGAUGGUUGAACUGCAUGACAAGGCAUGUACAUAGGUAUAGACCAGGAAGUGUGAGUGUGUACAUGUGAGAGUAUGUGUUAGGAUAGCUCAUUUGGUGUGUAAGCAUAGGUGUGUACUCCAUUUUGUUGUAGCAUUAGUUAGGACUAAUGCAAAGGGAGUUGAUAUCUAUAGUGUUAGUUUAGUAGGACUUUAAAACGAUUGACACAACCCCCAAAAAAAUCCAUAUUGGAUUUGAAUACUUUUUGGUGCAAAACCAAUUUUGUUAAGUGUUCAAUGAUUAACACCAUCUGUUGUUAUAAAGCAGCUAACACUGUUUUAUAGAUUUGCCAGAGUGAUGCUUUGUUAAACACCUGUUCUGAACUAAAGAGGUAGACCGUAACAAUGUUUCAUGUAGGUGAAUUUCCUGCCUUGCUCGUGACUACAUGUCAUGGUUGACCUUCAAAACCGAGACAGGUUCGUCUAUGUUAUGGUCUAGGCACCUGAGAGUCCAGUUGUACUGAAGGACAUGACAAAUAACCCUGGGAAACAUUCUGUGCUGGGUGUCAGUUCGGGCCUCUGCAUAGUCAAAUUUGCACCUGUUGUCUUGUUUUUAUUUUUAUUUGUUGAAUUCCGAAACCCAAGACUUGAGAUGAAGAAAACAUGUUAAUAAUGGAUUU